UACCAGACUCCUACGGGAGGCAGCAGUGAGGAAUAUUGGUCAAUGGUCGGGAGACUGAACCAGCCAAGCCGCGUGAGGGAUGAAGGUACAGAGUAUCGUAAACCUCUUUUGUCAGGGAGCAACGCCGGCUACGUGUAGCCGGACUGAGAGUACCUGAAGAAAAAGCAUCGGCUAACUCCGUGCCAGCAGCCGCGGUAAUACGGAGGAUGCGAGCGUUAUCCGGAUUUAUUGGGUUUAAAGGGUGCGUAGGCGGAAUGCCAAGUCAGCGGUAAAAUCGCGGGGCUCAACCUCGCUCCGCCGUUGAAACUGGCGUUCUUGAGUGGGCGAGAAGUAUGCGGAAUGCGUGGUGUAGCGGUGAAAUGCAUAGAUAUCGCGCAGAACUCCGAUUGCGAAGGCAGCAUGCCGGCUCCACACUGACGCUGAGGCACGAAAGCGUGGGUAUCGAACAGGAUUAGAUACCCCUGUACG
rnacentral:rRNA from 1 species